rfam:Pichia membranifaciens NRRL Y-2026 unplaced genomic scaffold PICMEscaffold_6, whole genome shotgun sequence.
GGGCGCGUGGUGCAAUGGUUAGCAUGUCUUCUUCCGGCGGAGAUGGUUGCGGGUUCGAGUCCCGCCGUGCUCU